GUGAAUUGAGAAGUGUGAUCCUUGGAGACGAAGGAGGCUGCCCUGUGUGUCUCUUUCUGGUUUCUUUGACCCACAAGCUCUCCUAGUCACUGGGAUGACUUCUGGCCUCCCUUUCUCUCUUGGGAUGUAGGCUAUAGUGUGUUCUUGGUCAAUAACCAUCACUGAGAGAAUGUUUCCCCCCCAAAACAUGUUUUCUUUCCGUUAUCUCUGCAACAUAAUACAGAUGGAGCUUCAGCCUCAGCAGUCUCCAGCCUACUGCCUUCCCUUCAUCCAGUAUGCAACAAAGGCUUGUCAAGCUCCCCUGCUCCAGGGCCUCUGCUAGGUUAAAUGGUGAAGGUCCAGCAGCAGUUCAGAGACAGGUACCCGAGAUACACACGAGUGAAAAAUCAAAUACCGAGUCAAGGGUAGAGAGAAUUGAUAGCUCACAGGGGAAGUAAGAGCAAACCAAAGUGUUUUCAAGACUGGGAAAACUGGAGCAUUUCUUUCGAUAAGGUGGAUGGAGCCCCAAAAGAGGAAGAAAUGAAAGAUUCUGGGAGUACUGUUCAGAUAUGGAAAGAUCUACCAUCCCUUUCAUAGCAGACUUGCACAGCCAAGGAGGACUUUGAGCUGGGAUCUUGGUGUGAAAUGAAUUAUUCUGCUCCAGAAGACAGCAUCUUAAAUGCACCUGAGCCUGAAUCCUGGAUUUUGCUUCCUUUGUGUUCCUGCCAUUUGCUGUGAUAAAUACCUUUUCUCUCAACAGAAGGAAUAUACGGAUGUGGGCACAGCCAUCUCCCAAAUAACUAGGCUCCUCCAUCUGACUCAGUAGCCAUCCUUCUUCCCAGGACAUCUGCCUCGCAGAACCACCCUCCUGGGGAAUGAGCCAGUGUUUACCCGUGUGUGAUUCUUAAGCAUUUCCUGAGCAUCUGCUGAGCCCUCCACUCUGCAGGAGGUCUCUCUGCAACAUGCAAGUAAUUUCCUUCAAUAAACAUUCAUCAUAUGCUUUCCGUGUUGCAGAGAAUAAGGCUGUACCCAGAGGCAAGGCCUUGCCCUCUUCAAGCUUACCUUCCAGGGGCAUGUGAAACUAGGGAAAGAGAUGGAAAUAUGUAAUUAUGACAAGAAUAAGUUUCUUGUCCUUAAGGAGUUAUUGUUGAAUAGGGAAAAUAAAACAUGGUGAUUGAUCAACCGUAUUUUAUCUAAAAGCCACAGAUAAUGUCCAGUUAGUCAACCAUUAGUUGCCGGUAAGAACAAUGGCCUCUGGUUCCAUUAUGUUGACAAGGAUGCAUGGUGGAGAGUCCUGGUCUGGACUGAGCCCACCCAGAUGGGCUUCCAUGCUCAGCCAUCUGCUGACUGUGAGAUCUUGAGUAAAUGACUUAACCUUCUUGAGUCGUAGACUCAUCUGUUAAAGGGUCUGCCUUACUUCCUUGGUGGUUUGUUGUGACACAGGUAAAUUAUAUAUGUAAGC
ensembl:lncRNA